AUCCCUUCUUGGUCUUUUGGCUAAGAUCACACGUAGUAUCUGUCCUUAUCAACUUAAUAUUUGAUACGUCCUCUAUCUGAGGACAAUACAUUAAAUGAGGUUUGGGAUCCAGCAAAUGGAAUAGGAGCUUGCUCCCUCUACUCCAUGCAUCGACUUGGUAGUGCAGUACCUCCAGGAACAGAACAUCCCUA
rnacentral:snRNA from 1 species